CGGAAGGUGCACUUGGGAUAUAUCCGAGGAUAGCUAAGAAGUAUAGCGUCUCCCUU
rnacentral:tRNA from 1 species